CUUUGCCUGAAUCUUGUCUAAUUAGCGAAAGGAUUAAAAAUGAAGGAUUGUGACUUGAGAAAUAGUUCAGUACGGAAUGUUCUAGUGGUCGUGGUGGGUCGUGGGUGGCGACGUUGUUCAAUCCGAAACUUGGGAAGCAAAUCUCUGGAAAGAAUUUGAAAGCCUUAUUGUGAAAUCUUGUUAGUUUUUCUUGUUAUUUAUAAACUAUGUGCGUUCUCUGUUCGGAGUUUGUAAGGCUUAGAAGAAGAAAAUGAGCAUUCGUGUUUACUCAUAAUAGGCAAGAAACAAGAGUUAUUUUCUGUUACCCCUUCAUCCACGUGUAUCGUAAUUAACAGACAUUCAACGUAGAUAAGUGGGCAAAUUUUUGUCAAAAAGUUUGUCAAGAAAUAUUUUUGUGUAAAACCUUGUCCUUCAGCGCACGUGGAGUUCUUCGUGCAUAUCUUUAGAUUUUUGAUGAACGUAUGAUGUUUUUCGCUGCGUAACAAGAAUUGAGCAAAAGAGACGCUAAACAUGUUUCCAUAAACAUAUAAUCCACCUGUCUGAUCUCACACAAAAAUAAGAAAUUCGGUUCGACACCUAUUUCUGCUGAGUGGUCUGUCUAAAAUGUUGUUGUUUGUUUGUUAUUUUAAAAUUUUUAGAGUAAAUGCGUGGUGAAAGUUCUGAUCUAGAAAACAACUGGAGAACAUGCCCAGGCCAAAUCUCCAGCGGAAGAUUACUUUCCCUAAACCCACCACUUUGUCUGAUUUCCUCUCUGUAUACAUAAUUAAUGCAUGUGGUUAAUGUUAACGUGCAGUAAUUUGCAUGUCAUGACACAUAUGUACACACAUCAAACAAAGACAGAUGUAUAAUUGUAUUGUAUAAUGUGAAUCUGGCCGAGGAAGAAAAGUAUAUACCUAAAUAUGUAUUCAUGCAAGGAUUACGCUUAUCAUAUCUUUGGUCCCUUUUACGCGGAACUAAUGCCAAAUAUGGUAUUGGAAACGUGCUGACGCGGAGGCUUUGUUUAAUAAAACGGAUCAAGUGAUGAGUUAUGUUAUGUAAAUGUAAUAAUGUGAUGCAAAUUGAGAAGUGGAGGAGGGGGGAAAGCAAUGCGGAUUUCAACCCCCACCUGUGCAUAUGUUCAUACCUGUCAUUCUGCAUCGAUCCCACCCACCGGAGCACCUACGCAAAUUGAAAAAUUGCACCAGAGUGUCUCCAACUUUUAAAAUAAUGGUAAGAAGCGAUGACGCGUAAAAACAUUUUCACCAUUUUAGCCUCUUUUACCUAACUAAAUAGCAGAUGUGGUAAGUUGUGGAGACAGUUUGUGUGACACAUCCAUUGUACAUCUCUCUUCCAAUCUGGAAUGGAAAGCGUUGGCCGAAAGAAAGAGGAGUGACGGACCACGACGCAGACUUUCCAGUUAGCAGGGAAAGUAUAAAAGGGGAGAAGGAGACCUUUGCAGUGAUCAGAGACAAAAACUGCGUCCAGCAAGACAAUACACUCCCACGAUCUGCGGGCUUUACCUGCAGAACCACCACACUCCAUUCUUACCACUCGGACGCUGAUAGAGCAGGCCUCAACUAUUGUGUAGCCGUUGAAAGAGCAAAGUAGAGUUAAUUAACUAUAAUUUUUCUGUAAUACGAGGGGAAUUCGAAACUCGAAAUCAGGUAGCAGAAUGCAUUGCAUGACUGCUUGGGUUCUGGUAAUAGUCGUUGGGUCAGCAAUUUUGGUGGCAGCGAAUGGCCCACCACCCACGGAGUUGCUUACCGAGGGAGAUAUUCCAAUGCUGACCUCGAGUAUGGAGAUGGAGGGAAAACCACCGCGUCCUCGGCUGUUCCAGUCGCCGGAACAGAUUCGAAUGUACUUGGACAGUUUGGGAAAAUAUUACAACUACCAAAAUCGAAACAGGUUUGGGAAACGGGGCAGUGGACCAGACCCGUAUUUACAAUUCAAGGACCCAUACGAAAUUAAGGGUGUUCCAGAGUACGACUUCAGAAGUCCUUUGUAGGUUGCGGAAGGUAAAUGGGGAACUAGACGAAGACGAAGAAUAAAUAAAUUUUGGCUAGAAACCAUUUAGCAAGUAUUUUAUAACAGAAAGAAUUGUGCUCCUUCUCAGAAGAUGCAGUGAAACUUGUUAUUCGAUAUCUGCACUUGUCGUCGGCGCUGAAUUACGUAGUUGACAUAAUUGUAUGUAGAUUCUCUCUCAGAUAAAAAAAUCUUAUUAAAAAAUAGCCCACAUUUUUGUACGGGUGAAUUGUGUAUAUAAAGUGGGCUAUAGAAUUGAUUGAUGUUCACGUAUGACUCGGAAAUAGUGAAUUCAUUCUUUAGCAAUUUUUGCCAGUAGAAUUUAGCUGCAAUCAUAGAAUAUAAUAUGGACCGAAGAACGAAGUGCAACAUGAACACGGCGUUGGUUAAGAGUAUCUCCAUCCAAAUAAUCAUUCUAAAUAAGUUUAAGUCACAAUUAUGUCCAGUUUGUUUUGCAUAAAUAAAAGUCUUUUAUUUGAAAAUCCAUGUAA